AUCGUUUCUAAAAGUAAACAAUAGUCUUUUAUAUUAUAUAGGCCUAUCAAAACAAAUUAUUAGAAAAUUGUCUGGAAAAUGUUUAUUUUGUAUUAAUAAUUGAUGUUUUGUCUUUUUCUAACCAAUUUAAGUAGCUAUUAUGAUUAUAAUUGGUUUUAAUAUAGGCCUAUAUAUAUAUAUUAAUUAAUAUUUUUUAAUUCCUCUUAAACUUUGCUGUCCUCAAGGCUUGAAAUCCUCUGCGCAACCCCUGAAAUGUACUGUAAUUGUCUGUCAUUGUGUUCUCUGUAUUCAGCUUAUCUUUCAUGUUGCCGCUACAAUUGCAUGUGAUAGAACAGAAAGCAUCAUGAUAAAAAGGAAAUUCAAACCUCAAAACCGGUUCUGCCCUUCAAUCUGAAAGUGAAAAUAUCCUUUUCAUGCCAAGUCACAGUCUCUGCCAUUUGAAGGUAAAAUCACACUUGAAACAGUGAGUCAAAGCAGAAUGACAGUUUAACAAGUCCAAGAUGAACUAUCAUUCCAAUGGGUGCUAUGGAUGUUUACAACCACUAUAAAUAUUACCAUUUUUUCUCUAUCUGCUUUGGCCUGGGCUGUGGACUAUUACUAUACAGGCCAUUUUACUCCAUUGUGGUGCCGUCAGUUCUUGGUGUGUUCUUCACAGUAAUGUUUGAAUUUGUGGGUGCAUCCUUUGGUUUGCCACCACAUACCAGAAGAUGUAGGGGUCGACCUUACCACUGGAAAGAUGUUGUCUGGGGUUAUUGUAUGGCUUUCUUUGUGACCAUCCUCCAUCUCAGAUCUUAUCAUGUUUAUACUCUGUCUUGUGGCUGGGGCCUUGUUGUGUUUGCCUUAAGAGGAGCAAUACGCAAAUAUAAUGCUCUAUGGAGGAGAUGGCGUUACCAUGACUGAAAUUAAAUUAGUGUUUACUAAAGGUGUCCAUCUGUGCAUUCAUCCACAUUUAUAUCAAAGCAAAUGUGAUUUAAUUUUGUACUAAUUACAAUAUCUGCCUCCAAAACAAUAUAUUAAUAUUGUUUUAUUAUUUAUGUUACCUUUUACAUGUUGCUGUUUCGUGUUGUUUACUAUGUAACGUUUGUCCCUCUAGUGGUUAAAAAUAAAACUGCAUGCAUUACAAUGUACUCUGUUAGAGAGCUACGGAACAAUUUAUGUUUAUUGAAAUACCUUACUUACCUGUUGAGUAAUGAAAACGCUGUUUCGCCAUUUCCGCGUCGCUUUUACAAUAUUUCAAAUCCCUCAGUUCUCAUCAGAUCCGAAAAGGCAAGCCGAUGACGUUUAAUUACGAGCUCUGUUGCGUUUUCUUUUUGCCAGCAGACUCUCCUCCGUUUGGCGUUUGUUUUUAAAUGGGUGAUUUUGAGAUUCAGCUGCUCCAUGUCAAACUUUCUCACUCGAUGUGACAACAUGCCACUCCCACACCGUCAAAGUAGCCGGUGUCAUGACAUCGCGUCUUCCCUCGAAAUCCACAAACUGUCAGUUAAUGAUUAUCCUAAGUAUAUACUAAUGAUAUUAAUUUAAAAUAGGCAUAGCGUACUAUAUAAUACGUAAAAAAUAAUAAUAAUAAUAAUAAAAAAUAGUGCAUAAUAAAACCAAUUGAACGUAAUUUUUUUACACUUCGUUAAUUAAUAAAUAAUAAUAAUAAUAAUAGCAUUUUAAGUGAAUAAUUGAAUUCAUUUGUUUUAUUAACUGGACAUUUAACACUUAAUUUAACACAAUUACAUUAAAGAUGAUUGUGAAUACAUGUAGGGUAAGUGCAAAUAGAGACAGAGCGACACGCGUCAUAAUCUGAAAACCACGCCCACCGGCCUAUUAAAUAGGCCUACACAUUCUACAUAAAUGUUGUGGAAGAUGCCUUUUUUACUUUGUAUAAAAGUAUAGUUUAGUAUUGUAGGCAUUUUAUAUAGCAAACAAAUACAUUCUUCCCAUUUCUUUUAAUAUACAGCAUGUUCCCACUGAGACAACUUACCCAAGAGUGUGACAACAUACCCCAAUAGUGGCUUAUGUGUUCUUAAAUGACCUGUGCUGCGGA